rnacentral:lncRNA from 1 species
GAUUCAUUCUUUCUAGCUGAAGUUUUAGAAAAUUACUUAUUAAUUACUUCUUUUACUUUGGUCUUAGUUUUUUAGCCUAAAGAACAUUUUGAUUGGCUUGUGCUGAUCUCACCAUGCUUCCUGGACAAUGUUUCUGCUUCUAAGUUGAGUGUCUUCUCUUGUCUACCUAGUUAUGUGUGAAGUGUGCAGAAUUCAGGGAAGCUUAGACUUUUUCAUACUAAGUUAGGGAUAGUUUCAUGAUAGUGUGUAAAUAUAGCAACCAAAAAUUAAUUGUUCACGUGUCAUCUAAGCAAGGUAAACUCAUAGUGAGGUGAUGAAUGUUGCUGACAGUAGGAGGUGGUGGUCAGGGAGCCACAGGGCUGUUCUCAUAAAGUGAACGUGCCUGUCGGCUUGAUCACCCCCAAGUGUGGUCUCAGUGGACAUCAGUAAACAGAUGAUUGAAAGCGUCUUCUCCAUAGGUAUGAAUCUCACUGAUGCUUUUGAGUGUGUGUAGUGUUAUGUGAGGGUGAAGAGUGGGUACCCUAAAGAGCGUCUGCAGUCAGACCUGACACUUUCACACUUUAAUCCUAGGAAUGACUGUGAUAAGCAGGAGAACCUCCGAGAAGGAAGGCUUCCUCAGUGUAGAUACAAACUUCUGGGUGCCGAAGGGAUGGAGACUUGAAGUGGGUAAACCUGUUUCAGCUCUGAGAUUUAUAUGCUCCAAGCAUUUACUUAAAAUUCAGAAGCCAGAAGUUCCAGAUCAUGACUUCUAGGAAGCUAGGCCAGAAUGAGUCCCCAGAUAGCUGGGCCAAGCCUGACCAUAGGUGCGGUUGGAUGAGUCUGGCCUGAGAGUCAGCGCUGUUGCCUUAUUCCUCAUUCAGGCAUAUUGUCCAGACCCGCUGCUAGCUAGCCUAGCUUGCAUGUUUACAGUGUCUUCUGGAACCUUAGUGUGACUGAAAGAGACGUUGGAGAUACUUCUUGCUAAGUUGGCAGAAUCCAGAAGACCUUAUCAGGCCAUUUGGUCCAUCUGUAUACACACCCCACCCCCUCACCCCAGUGGUCAAAGGGUCUGGGAAGAGCAGCCCAGAGUUUGUCAUGCAGCGUUGUCUGGGUGUCACCGAUGAGUGACACUGCUCUUUUUGUUGUAGUUAACAUUAUGUCUUUGAAUGGGUGAACACCCCAGCUGAUCCCCCAGUCCCUCUCAGGCUGCCUUGUUCCCUGUUGUUACCUCUCUGGGGCCCCGCUUGAUCUACUUGACUUUGAGUGCUAAAUCUCAAGUGGCCAUCAGUAUCAGGAAAGGCAUACCCUGCAGGCUCCGUCCGGACUGUCCACAGCUAGCCCUGGACAGUGAUGUUCAUUCCAAACCCGUCAAGGCCUUAGCCCAGGCUUGGCUUAGAUACCUAGGACCAGAGUUUGCAUAUGCAAACAUUGGUUAUAUCUGUGGCCUGGAUCUUCUUGUGGGAAUUAAUUAUAAAUGCCAUUGAAUCCACUAGUAAAUAAUCUUUGUAAACCAUGCAGCUUUAUUGCUCUCUUCCCCCAAAGAAUGUCGUUUGAAAUUUUCUCAUUUCAGUAGUAGAGGCCGUAACUGCCAUUGUAACACUGAUAAUGCAACAUGAAACUCAAGGUGCCUACCUGCUCAUACAGCGGAGUCGGCCAUCAUACUGCAACUCAGAGGGAAGAGAAGGAAGGGCACGGGCACAGGAGGACCCUGCGAGUCAGGCACUGAGGGGUCACAGCCUGCGUCGUCCUGUGUCCUCGUGGCACACCUACUGAGGACCAUGUGUCUCUUCCUGCCUGACUUUGUUGUUCUUCAGUACCAGCAUUGCCCGCCCUGUUCAAGAAUCCAGAAUGCUCCGGUCUGAGCAGAGCACCUUACAGUGGGCUUUGAAGGCCACUCACGAGGAGAGUUUCCAUGAGGACCAGGGCCUCCAGGAGCCUGUGGGGUUUAGGUUUGGGGUUGUUUUGUUGUUUUUUUAUUUCAAGUUUCAGCAGGAGAGAUGUGCAAUGUUUCAAUAGGAUUCCGAUUUGACUUCACUCUUUCAAACGCUGCAAUGCAAUACAGAUCACUUUGAAGUGGGGAAAAAUGCAAAGUUGUGUUUCCCUUUUAUCUGUGAAUCUUUAAGACACGUGUUGUUGCUGUACGUGCUGAGUGGUCUUAUUCUCUACUGCUUCGGCGUGGGGCUCCCAUGACGUCAUUGCACCGGGCUCUCAGCCCUUCCGGGGAGGCAAGAAGCCCCGCGCCACCUCGAGCGAAGCUUUUGUUCCGUGAGCGCAGUACCACCUCAUUAACCUUUUUAGUGGUGUGGAUUUUAUACCAUCUGUGUAUGUUUGCAAAUAUUAAGUUAUUACAUGUUUCAAAAUGAGCAUUUUUCAUCCUAAAUUUUAUAUGUUUGCAAAUAUAUUUUUUUAAUAAAAUUUCAAAACCAAGUUUUAGCACCUAC